GACGCUAAUCCUCCGCCGUCGCUCACCCAGUGCUCCCACACAGCUCUCAGCGUGAGGAAUAUGCGUCCAAUGUUCUGUUCUCUGAUUGGUUAUCACGACCAGUGUGACCUAUAGGGCAGCCGCCAUACUACAGUGCCCAUGAUGCAUUGCAUUUCCGUUUCCGGUGGCCAUUU